rnacentral:tRNA from 1 species
GCCCGUUUAGCUCAGUGGUAGAGCGCGCCACUCGUACUUGCGUCAUGGUGAGGUCGGUUGUUCAAUCCAGCCAAUGGGCA